rnacentral:tRNA from 1 species
GGAAUACGAAUUGGCUGGAAACCCGCAUAAACAUUGACUUCUGUAACUGGCCUGUCACGCCGGGGGUCACGGGUUCGAGUCCCGUCCGCUCCGCCA